UACGGGGGGGGCAAGCGUUGUUCGGAAUUACUGGGCGUAAAGGCUCGUAGGCGGCCAACUAAGUCGGAUGUGAAAUCCCCAGGCUUAACCUGGGAACUGCAUCCGAUACUGGAUGGCUUGAAUCCGGGAGAGGGAUGCAGAAUUCCAGGUGUAGCGGUGAAAUGCGUAGAUAUCUGGAGGAACACCGGUGGCGAAGGCGGCAUCCUGGACCAGCAU
rnacentral:rRNA from 1 species